UUCUUUCUUGUGCUUAUGCUGGAACUGGAAAUGUCCUAAAG
rnacentral:sRNA from 1 species